CGAACCCAUUGUCGUGUCCGGGAGGCUCCUGCAGGGGACGUGGGGGGCACAGAGAGAUGAGAUCUCAGUCUUGCCCAGGCUGGAGUCCAGUGGCACAAUCAUAGCUUACUGCAGGCUCAAACUCCUGGGCUAAAGCAAUCCUCCCACCUCAGCCUCUCAAGUAGCUGGGACCACAGGUGUGCACCACCACCCCCAGCUAACUUUUAAAUUUUUUUGUAGAGAUGGAGUCUCGCUAUGUUGUCCAGGGUGAUGUCAAACUCCUGGGCUUGAGAGAUCCUCCCACCUUGGCCCCCCAAAGUGCUGGGAUUAUAGGCAUGAGCCUCUGUGCCUGGCCUACUAAUCCUUUCUUUUAGGCAGGACCAGCAUGGGGUGCCCACUCCCAUUAGUGGGGCUUCCCAGCCCUGCCCCUCCCUCUGGGCAGAGACUGCGUUUAAAAUGCCCCAGCUGUCCUCACCAGGUUGCCUGGGUGCUCUGCAGGCCCC
rnacentral:lncRNA from 10 species